rnacentral:rRNA from 1 species
AAGCUCGUAGUUGAAUUUCGGGGUUAGUAGGUUGGUCAUGCCUCCGGUAUGUACUGGUCUCACUGAUUCCUCCUUCCUGAUGAACCGUAAUGCCAUUAAUUUGGUGUUGCGGGGAAUUUGGACUGUUACUUUGAAAAAAUUGAGUGUUUAAAGCAAGCUAACGCUUGAAUACAUUAGCAUGGAAUAAUGAAAUAGGACGUUCGAUCCUAUUUUGUUGGUUUCUAGGAUUGACGUAAUGAUUAAUAGGGAUAGUUGGG